UACAGAGGUCUCAAGCGUUGUUCGGAUUCAUUGGGCGUAAAGGGUGCGUAGGCGGCGCGGUAAGUCGGGUGUGAAAUCUCGGAGCUUAACUCCGAAACUGCAUUCGAUACUGCCGUGCUUGAGGACUGGAGAGGAGACUGGAAUUUACGGUGUAGCGGUGAAAUGCGUAGAUAUCGAGAGGAACACCGGUGGCGAAGGCGGCCUUCUGGACAGUGACUGACGCUGAGACGCGAAAGCGUGGGGAGCAAACAGG
rnacentral:rRNA from 1 species